rnacentral:rRNA from 1 species
ACGAACGCUGGCGGCGUGCUUAACACAUGCAAGUCGAGCGGUAAGGCCCUUCGGGGGUACGACGAGCGGCGAACGGGUGAGUAACACGUGGGUGACCUGCCCUCAGCUCUGGGAUAAGCCUGGGAAACUGGGUCUAAUACCGGAUAUGACUCCAUGACGCAUGUUGUGGGGUGGAAAGCCUUGUGCGGCUGAGGAUGGGCCCGCGGCCUAUCAGCUUGUUGGUGGGGUGANGGCCUACCAAGGCGACGACGGGUAGCCGGCCUGAGAGGGCGACCGGCCACACUGGGACUGAGACACGGCCCAGACUCCUACGGGAGGCAGCAGUGGGGAAUCUUGCGCAAUGGGCGAAAGCCUGACGCAGCGACGCCGCGUGAGGGAUGACGGCCU